AGAGUUUGAUCCUGGCUCAGGACGAACGCUGGCGGCGUGCUUAACACAUGCAAGUCGAACGGAAAGGCUCCAGCUUGCUGGAGUACUCGAGUGGCGAACGGGUGAGUAACACGUGGGUAAUCUGCCCUGCACUCUGGGAUAAGCCUGGGAAACUGGGUCUAAUACUGGAUAUGACCUUUCUCCUUAUGGGGUUUGGUGGAAAGUUUUUCGGUGUAGGAUGAGCCCGCGGCCUAUCAGCUUGUUGGUGGGGUGAUGGCCUACCAAGGCGACGACGGGUAGCCGGCCUGAGAGGGUGAUCGGCCACAUUGGGACUGAGAUACGGCCCAGACUCCUACGGGAGGCAGCAGUGGGGAAUAUUGCACAAUGGGCGGAAGCCUGAUGCAGCGACGCCGCGUGAGGGAUGACGGCCUUCGGGUUGUAAACCUCUUUCAGCAGGGACGAAGCGUAAGUGACGGUACCUGCAGAAGAAGCACCGGCUAACUAUGUG
rnacentral:rRNA from 1 species